UGGGGAAUAUUGCACAAUGGGCGCAAGCCUGAUGCAGCCAUGCCGCGUGUAUGAAGAAGGCCUUCGGGUUGUAAAGUACUUUCAGCGAGGAGGAAGGUGUUGUGGUUAAUAACCACAGCAAUUGACGUUACUCGCAGAAGAAGCACCGGCUAACUCUGUGCCAGCAGCCGCGGGUAAUACGAGGGGUGCAAGCGUUAAUCGGGAAUUUACUGGGCGUAAAGCGCACGCAGGCGGUCUGUCAAGUCGGAUGUGAAAUCCCCGGGCUCAACCUGGGAACUGCAUCCGAAACUGGCAGGCUAGAGUCUUGUAGAGGGGGUAGGAUU
rnacentral:rRNA from 1 species